GACGAGCGCUGGCGGCGUGCCUAAUACAUGCAAGUAGAACGCACAGUUUAUACCGUAGCUUGCUACACCAUAGACUGUGAGUUGCGAACGGGUGAGUAACGCGUAGGUAACCUGCCUGGUAGCGGGGGGUAACUAUUGGAAACGAUAGCUAAUACCGCAUAAUAUUAAUUAUUGCAUGAUAAUUAAUUGAAAGGUGCAAUUGCACCACUACCAGAUGGACCUGCGUUGUAUUAGCUAGUAGGUGAGGUAACGGCUCACCUAGGCGACGAUACAUAGCCGACCUGAGAGGGUGAUCGGCCACACUGGGACUGAGACACGGCCCAGACUCCUACGGGAGGCAGCAGUAGGGAAUCUUCGGCAAUGGACGAAAGUCUGACCGAGCAACGCCGCGUGAGUGAAGAAGGUUUUCGGAUCGUAAAGCUCUGUUGUAAGAGAAGAACGGGUGUGAGAGUGGAAAGUUCACACUGUGACGGUAUCUUACCAGAAAGGGACGGCUAACUACGUG
rnacentral:rRNA from 1 species